rnacentral:rRNA from 1 species
CAGCCGCCGCGGGAAUACGUAGGGUGCAAGCGUUAAUCGGAAUUACUGGGCGUAAAGCGUGCGCAGGCGGUUUGUUAAGACAGAUGUGAAAUCCCCGGGCUUAACCUGGGAACUGCGUUUGUGACUGGCGAGCUAGAGUAUGGCAGAGGGGGGUAGAAUUCCACGUGUAGCAGUGAAAUGCGUAGAGAUGUGGAGGAAUACCGAUGGCGAGGGCAGCCCCCUGGGCCAAUACUGACGCUCAUGCACGAAAGCGUGGGGAGCAAACAGGAUUAGAUACCCCCGUAGUCCCUGUCUCUUAUAC